CUGGCCGCUCAUACACAACAGUACAGGUACUCCAUGGGUGGAUAUCAUGGGCGGACACUCGUAGCCGAAGUGGGCGAUGGGUGUUUCCUCUGUAGGUUUGGUUACCAACGAGGACCACGGGCGAGCGGAAGGCACUGCCGUGGCGCGCUACCACGGAGGCAGAGGCUUGCGCUCGUGA